rnacentral:rRNA from 1 species
UACGUAGGGUCCGAGCGUUGUCCGGAAUUAUUGGGCGUAAAGGGCUCGUAGGCGGUUUGUCACGUCGGGAGUGAAAACUCAGGGCUCAACCCUGAGCGUGCUUUCGAUACGGGCAGACUGGAGGUAUGCAGGGGAGAACGGAAUUCCUGGUGUAGCGGUGAAAUGCGCAGAUAUCAGGAGGAACACCGGUGGCGAAGGCGGUUCUCUGGGCAUGACCUGACGCUGAGGAGCGAAAGUGUGGGGAGCGAACAGG